CGCACUAUAACUUUAGUUUAAGUAAAUAGAAAUCUAUGAAAUUUAAACACAAGGUUUAUGACCAUAAAAGGAAGGUUGAUAUUGAUUUUGGGAGUUUUGGUCCCAACAGAAUAAGGGGCCCAAAGGGUCCAAAAUUAAACUUUGUUUGAUUUCAUCAAAAUUGAAUAAUUGGGGUUCUUUGAUAUGCCGAAUCUAACUGUCAUGACUGUGUAUGUAGAUUCUUAACUUUUGGUCCCGUUUUCAAAUUGGUCUACAUUAAGGUCCAAAGGGUCCAAAAUUAAACUUAGUUUGAUUUUGACAAAAAAUGAAUCAGUUAGGUUCUUUGAUAUGCUGAAUCUAAAAAUGUACUUAGAUUCUUGAUUAUUGGCCCAGUUUUCAAGUUGGUCCAAAUCCGGGUCCAAAAUUAAACUUUGUUUGAUUUCAUCAAAAAUUGAAUGAAUGGGGUUCUUUGAUAUACCAAAUCUAACUGUGUAUGUAGAUUCUUCAUUUUUGGUUCUGUUUUCAAAUUGGUCUACACUAAAGUCCCAAGGGUCCAAAAUUAAACUUAGUCUGAUUUUAACAAAAAUUGAAAUCUUGGGGUUCUUUGAUAUGCUGAAUCCAAAAAUGUACUUAGAUUUUUUAUUAAUGG
rnacentral:lncRNA from 1 species